AUUUUUCUUCAGCAGUCCAAAAUAUUAGUCAAUGCUCGAAAGAGUGAACUAGCUAACUGAAAUCAAUUAUAAAAAUUGAUAACAUAAGGGAAAAUAAUGAUAUUACCUUAUUAUUAGUGUCGUCCAAAACUGGUGCCAGAAGACUCGGUAAGGCCAGAGACAUAAACGUUAAUCGUCUUAAUCAGGCGUAAAGGGUUUGUAGGCGGCUUUUAAUUUUACUUAUUUAUCCUUUUUUGUUAAAGAUUUAAUUAAAGUUUAGUUAUUUAUUUAAUUAAAAUUUAUAAGUAAAGAAUAAAAGCUAGAAUCAAAUAGAGGAUAUAUCAAAUAAUGCUUAGAGUAGGUCUGAUAUCCCUAGAUACUAAGUAGAAUAUUAAAGGCGAAGGCUUUUUUCCAUUAAUGAUUGACGCUCAGAAACGAAGGUGAGGAUAGGAAAUAGGAUUAGAUACCCAAAAUACCCCUCUCUGUCAACGAUGAAUGGUAGUUAUUAAUAAUAAAUUAAUUAAUGACAAUGUUAACACGAUAACCAUUCCGCCUUGUGAGUACAACUGCAAAGUUGAAAACAAAAAAAUUAGUCGGUUUCGGAGCAAACGAAGUGAAGCAUGUUAUUUAAUUCGAUAAUCCGCAGAAGGA
rnacentral:rRNA from 1 species